rnacentral:rRNA from 1 species
GUAGGUGGCAAGCGUUGUCCGGAAUUAUUGGGCGUAAAGCGCGCGCAGGCGGUUCUUUAAGUCUGAUGUGAAAGCCCACGGGCUCAACCGUGGAGGGUCAUUGGAAACUGGAGAACUUGAGUACAGAAGAGGAAAGCGGAAUUCCACGUGUAGCGGUGAAAUGCGUAGAGAUGUGGAGGAACACCAGUGGCGAAGGCGGCUUUCUGGUCUGUAACUGACGCUGAGGCGCGGAAGCGUGGGGAGCAAACAGGAUUAGAUACCCUGGUAGUCCACGCCGUAAACGAUGAGUGCUAAGUGUUAGGGGGUUUCCGCCCCUUAGUGCUGCAGCUAACGCAUUAAGCACUCCGCCUGGGGAGUACGACCGCAAGGUUG